rnacentral:rRNA from 1 species
AAUCAACGCUGGCGGCGUGCCUAACACAUGCAAGUCGAACGCCAAAGCCCCGCAAGGGGUAAGUAGAGUGGCAAACGGGUGAGUAACACGUGGGUGACCUGCCUUCGAGUGGGGGAUAACGUCCCGAAAGGGACGCUAAUACCGCAUGACAUCCUGCUUUUGAAAAAGCGGAGAUCAAAGCUGGGGAUCGCAAGACCUAGCGCUUGAAGAGGGGCCCGCGCCUGAUUAGCUAGUUGGUGAGGUAACGGCUCACCAAGGCGACGAUCAGUAUCCGGCCUGAGAGGGCGGACGGACACACUGGGACUGAGACACGGCCCAGACUCCUACGGGAGGCAGCAGUGGGGAAUUGUUCGCAAUGGGCGCAAGCCUGACGACGCAACGCCGCGUGGAGGACGAAGAUCUUCGGGUCGUAAACUCCUGUCGAGCGGGACGAACGCUUCGCGGAUGAAUAAUCCGCGGAAUUGACGGUACCGCUAAAGGAAGCCCCGGCUAACUCCGUG